CUCUGGGGUCGCUAGUGCCUAUCUCAGCUACAAUCGGGCGGAAGGCGAGGCACAUCCUGGACAAGUCUCCAUCUCAUCGCACUACGGUCUUGUGGAGAGACGGAGCCGACAGCAGGAUAGGACAGACAGCGGUCCUACCCGAGAUGGCGGCCAGGAGGCGGCGCAUGCAGCGGAGCGGAGAGCAUAAAAGGGGUGAAGGAGGAGCAAUCGUGAAAAAAGUAGGAGAGGAAACACCCGACAACAAAGACGACGAGAGCGACCCAGAGAGAGAUGAGACCCCGCGGAAGACGCAGCCACCGGCCACCAAAAGGUGUGCCUCGACGAGCAGGAA